rnacentral:rRNA from 1 species
CUGCUAUCAGAAUGAGAUUAAGCCAUGCGAGUCAACGUAGCAAUACGUGGCACACGGCUCAGUAACACGUAGUCAACAUAACCAGAGGACGUGGAUAAACUCGGGAAACUGAGGCUAAACCGCGAUAGACCAAGAUACCUGGAAUGGUUUUUGAUCAAAAUCUAUAUGGCCUUUGGAUUGGACUGCGACCGAUCAGGCUGUUGGUGAGGUAAUGGCCCACCAAACCUGUAACCGGUACGGGCUCUGAGAGGAGGAGCCCGGAGAUGGGUACUGAGAAAAGGACCCAGGCCCUAUGGGGCGCAGCAGGCGCGAAACCUCUGCAAUAGGCGAAAGCCUGACAGGGUUAUUCUGAGUGACUUUCGCUAAGAAAGUCUUUUGACAUCUCUAAAAAUGGUGUAGAAUAAGGGGUGGGCAAGUCUGGUGUCAGCCGCCGCGGUAAUACCAGCACCCCGAGUGGUCGGGACGAUUAUUGGGCCUAAAGCAUCCGUAGCCGGUUUUACAAGUCCUCCGUUAAAUCCAACUGCUUAACAGAUGGGCCGCGGAGGAUACUAUAAGACUAGGAGGCAGGAGAGGCAAGCGGUACUCAGUGGGUAGGGGUAAAAUCCGUUGAUCCAUUGAAGACCACCAGUGGCGAAGGCGGCUUGCCAGAAUGCGCUCGACGGUGAGGGAUGAAAGCUGGGGGAGCAAACCGGAUUAGAUACCCGGGUAGUCCCAGCUGUAAACGAUGCAGACUCGGUGAUGGACUAGCUUAAUGCUAGUCCAGUGCCGCAGGGAAGCCGUUAAGUCUGCCGCCUGGGGAGUACGGUCGCAAGACU